GGUGUUUUGUAUUUAGGUAGUGUUGUAUCGGUGGUGUUUUGUAUUUGGGUAGUGUUGUAUCAGUGGUGUUUUGUAUUUAGGUAGUGUUGUAAUCAGUGGUGUUUUGUAUUUAGGUAGUGUUGUAUCAGUGGUGUUUUGUAUUUAGGUAGUGUUGUAUCGGUGGUGUUUUGUAUUUGGGUAGUGUUGUAUCAGUGGUGUUUUGUAUUUAGGUAGUGUUGUAUCAGUGGUGUUUUGUAUUUGGGUAGUGUUUUUGUAGUGGUGUUUUGUAUUGAGGUGGUGUUGUAUCAGUGGUGUUUUGUAUUGAGG
ensembl:lncRNA